GCGGUUGCGCCCACGGACUUCGCUCCAGCCAGGUGGGCCGAGUUGUCAGCCCCUCCCUUAACGCCGUGAGAUGUAAUUCUUGGAGACUCGCUCUCGCCUGUGUGAGACUGCUGGAUAGUUACAGGGCUCAGACCCAGGCGAGAUGUUCCGGAUGCCUGCCCAGGGCUGAGGGCACAAAAUCAGCGGAGAUGGCCUUUCUAACCUCAAAGUGCUUUCUCACAUCGAGUUUAAAAAUUUAUAGACAUGCAACUUCUGGACCUCCAGUGUCCGAUUUUGCAUCGUCUACAGCAAUACAAGACGGUGGUGUGUUUUCCCAGGGUAGUUUUCCCUUCCAUCUAGUUCUUUAGGAGACUGCAAUGAAAGCUCAGCAGAGAAUCA